UACGUAGGUGGCAAGCGUUGUCCGGAUUUAUUGGGUUUAAAGGGUGCGUAGGCGGCUUUGUAAGUCAGUGGUGAAAUAUGGCAGCUCAACUGUCAAGGUGCCAUUGAUACUGCGGAGCUUGUGUACAGAUGAGGUAGGCGGAAUUGACGGUGUAGCGGUGAAAUGCUUAGAUAUCGUCAAGAACACCUACAGCGAAGGCAGCUUACUAGGCUGUAACUGACGCUGAGGCACGAAAGUGUGGGGAUCAAACAGG
rnacentral:rRNA from 1 species